CACGUAGGGCGCAAGCGUUUGUCCGGAAUUAUUGGGCGUAAAGAGCUCGUAGGCGGUCUAUUGCGUCCGCUGUGAAAAACUCGGGGGCUCAACCCCCGAGCCUGCAUUCGAUACGGGCAGACUAGAGUUCGGUAGGGGAGACUGGAAUUCCUGGUGUAGCGGUGAAAUGCGCAGAUAUCAGGAGGAACACCAAUGGCGAAGGCAGCUCGCUGGGACGGUACUGACGCUGAGGUGCGAAAGCGUGGGGAGCGAACAGG
rnacentral:rRNA from 1 species